rnacentral:ncRNA from 1 species
UUAUCACAGGUUCGAGAUCCUCCCUGUAUAAAAAACUAAGGAGAU